UCCAAUGGUCUAAGUAGUAUAGGGAUUAACCUAUGAUUGUUGAAAUCAGUAGCAAGACUCCCAAAGAGAGCGGUGCAAGAUCAAAGUUUAUAUGUGUAACCUUGUGCUAUCGGUGGACAGGCUGAGAAUAUAAUGUUACGCAUCAUCAGGCCUCUGCUGUCUGGUUCUUCUUUCUCAACAUCAUUAACUGAACUGUAGAAAGACUUGCAUCAUGAAAAGCUUUAGCAGUGAUGCAAACUGAAGAGUUUGCAGCAGGCUGAACCAGUAGAGUUUUGGCUGUCUAAUUUGCCCAUUGUUGAGGCAUGAAUAUUUGUAAAGCACUUUGAAAAUAAUAUUGCUAUGUGUACUAAGUGCUGUUGUUUUUUUUAAUUUUUGUUGGUGGUGAUGGCAGCUCUGGCAAAUCUCAAUAUCAAGCAAUGUCAAUCCUCAGAUUUUCUAGAUAUAUCAAAAUAUACUAAUCAACAUGCUUCCACAGUCAUUCAACUAUCAAGCUCUAAAAUGCAUAUAAGUAGGUAGUCAGAUUUGAAACUGUUACACUUGAACACUGGAGAUAGGCCAAAUCCAGAAUCUGGAUUCUGAACCCUUUGAAUUUCAACAUGUGUGUAUGGGAAGAGACAUCACAGUCCCUGGAUUGGAACUGUCCACUCUAGUUUCCUUUGCAAGCAGAUCCAAGUCCUGAAGGAGUCUAUGUUCUGUAGCUGAAACCUCAUAAGAAGAGCUAGCUAGCUCAUGAAAUUUCUACCAUUUGAAGGAUAAAAUAUUCAAGGAUAAUGUUUGAGAUUUUGCUGCCAUCAGACCCAAACCCCCACCUGAUCUCAAGCUGAAUAUGGCUCCACAGCUCAUCCCUACUUAAAACUAGAAAAGACAUUCUCAGUACAUGCCUUCUGGACCCUUGAUACUGUAUUGAAUUUGAUGAAUAUCUUUAUCUCAGCUGUAUUUGCAGAUACAUAAUGAUGCAAAUGUGAUAACGAUCAAGAAGUUAAUAAUAAACCCAAAGAUACACUGCUGGAUCAGAAGUCUUCAUAUUUUGUUGAGUUGACAGCACUAUAGACAAUAAUUUUGAUGUAAACAGCAGGGUGAUUUUUUUUAAAGUUUUUUUUCAGUACCAGUCACCUCUUGAUACCUCUCAUCCAUAGCUCACCCAGACAAUUCUCGAAGCAUACAUCAAAGCUUACGCAAUGUUGUUCAACAAAGCUGGUACAGUCCCAACAAAAGAAGGGUCCAAAGCUGAAACCCUGAAUGCAAACACCCCUGAAUGCUCUGUGCUCAAAAUCCAGAAUCCCAGUGUUGUACAUUGGGCCAAUCUCUAAUACAAAUGGGACUUCUUGGCAGCCAGUCAUUUCUUAGUUUGGGAAGGGCUGGUUCUUUCUGUAGCCUGAAGGGAAAUACAAAGGCCAAAUCUCCACCCAUUAUGAACACAGCAUUCUUCCUUUAGUAUACCUUAUAAAAGCACCAGUUUAUAUCUGAAAGCAGACCAAAAACAUUGCUUCAGUCUCACUUCAAAGCAACUGCCUGACUAGCUGGAAGAAUGAAACUCUUCACGCUCUUUGGCUUGCUGUCUGUCUUGAUCCUGUGCCUCAGUGUUUUCUCCACAGAAGGUCGGGACAUUCGAAAACACUGCUGCAGACGGACUUCAAAAAUUCGCAAAGGCAUGGCUGCCCGACUAAAGAGACUCCACUGCAAACCAUGUAAUCCCUUAAAAAAACCCAUGCCACCUCAGAAAACAGGACCGCUUCCUCAGAGUUUAAAGUGAACAGCCUCAGCAGCAUGUAAAAGACCUCUGGUCCAUAGCAGUCUGGCUGCCGCCACAUCUCAUAAUGCUUUUACUUUGUUUGGGGCCCUUUGUGGGGGAAUCAGGAGUGUAUUUGCUUUUCAGACACUAAUGUUCAUCCAUUCAUAGUGUUCUCACCUCUCCUUUGCAUAUGUUAAAACUCUCCAGCUGGGGUGCUAAAGCCUUUCUGUGAAGUAGACUGUCAUUGGUCUUCAGGAUUUCCACAGUUACGCAUCAGCUCUCCAUUCCAUUAGUGGAUCUCUCCCAACAAGUGGUAGAGCAAACAGAUCUGGCCAGAAAGCCUUCCACACUACCACUCUGUGUGACAUCAUUUUGGCACAUAAACCUGUGCUGGGGAGGGACUGUUUGUUUUUCUGUGUAGUCAUUCAGUUUUUUCCUCUAAAUCCACAUUUCUGGAAAUGUUUUAUUUUAAUCUGCAAACGGAUCACAAUUUUAGACAGGUGUCUGGGUGCUGAAAUUUGCCUCUAUGCAGAGGACCUGUAUGAAGCCCACCAAGGCAACACUUUAAGUCUUACAUGGGUGUGUUUAGAAUUUCUGCUGGCCCUCUCCAGAGAGCUGAAUUUCUCCCACGUGAGAGAGAGUUCCACCUUUUGAGCAGGAGCUGAGAACCACAACAGAGGGGCAAACAGAUCAAUUUGAAGUAUUCAUUAAGGGCCUGAUAUAAAGCCAGUGGGAAGCUUUUCACUGACUUCACUGGGCUUUGGAUCAAGUUCCAAAAUGCAGAUGCCUUAUCUCUCGGAGAAUGACAUUACUUGGUUGAUGUGCAAUAUUCAGAAAACCCCUUAACAUUAAUUAUUUAACUCUGUCCUUUCUGACGCACUCUUGAAUUUAGUGUUUCAUGGCACAUAAACAAAAGCACAUUUUGAAAGGGUGGAAUAGAAUGAUACCAAGGGAGUGAAAAAUAAGGGCAACAGAAAGUGCACCCAGACCUGAUUGGCAGGGCUCGUUUGCAGUUAACUAUAAGUACUGUGGUCCCCAGUUCAGACAUAGAUAGGUUGCAUCAUUUCUUACAUUUACAUUUCUGCUUGGUGUUUAAUAUUCUCAUUGUAAUAAAGGCUCUCUAUCACCAUGCUCAGGAACUAGAGAAUUGGCUUUCAACAGAGAUAGGCAGGUACCAAAUGUCAUUAAUCUCAGAGGUCAGAAAUGUAAAUCAGCUAUUUGAAUAUUCUGGUUCAUUGGCACAUGUUAAUUUCAGUUUUGUUAUUGUUUUGUAGUUUGUUGAAUGAAUGUAUCUAAUACAAUUAAAUGUAACACAUGUAUCUUGGACUGUGAUCUGUUUGGGGCAAGGAGGUUGACUUACUUUUUAAAAAUCACAAUGUACAUUUAUGGGUCUGAAGAAAUUAUUUUAAUAGUAAUAACCAGUACUGGGAUUCUGGUCUCUAAUGUUAGUUUAACCCUAUUCGUUUUCAUCUCAAAGCAAGUGACGUUAUUCUCUGAAAAAAUUAGCCCUUUAAAACAAUGUAUUUGAAAUUUAGUGCCAGCUGGGACAGAUGAUGAUGAUGGAUGCUUCCACUAUAACCCAAUCCCAGUUGAUGGGAGAAGGGGAAGAAAGAGAGUUUGAAACUGGAUAACAAAAACUUAAGUUCAAAAAUAUAUUAGCAACAGUAGAAAAAUAUACUCUGUGGAAUUUUUCUCAUGAAAUGGCCUGACUCUGCAAACUCUUACACAUCUGAGUUACUUUAUUUACAUCUAUAGUCAAACUGAACUCAGUAGGACUACUUGCAUGACUAAAGUUACUUGAGUGCAGGAAUAUUUUCAGCAUCAGACUCUAAUCCUGAAAGGACAAUCUAAAGUAUUUUACUACCUAGUAGCAUGCAACUAGAAUCUGCACAUGACAUAAGUUACAAGUACCUGUUCUUCCCUUCCCUUUCUUUUCUCUUGGAUUAUGUAUGUUUGACAUUACCUAGAUCUAAAAGUAUUUUACUUACUGCAUUUAAAAUAGGCCAAUAAAUAUAUUAUACAAAAUCUAUCCUAGCUUAUCUGGUGAAUGUAUUGGGUUAAAUAUGUUUAAGCAGAACAACCAUGUACCCUACAAAUUAAAAUAAAGAUAUUUUUGA